rnacentral:rRNA from 1 species
GGGCUACACACGUGCUACAAUGGCGGUGACAGUGGGAAGCCAGGCAGCGAUGCCGAGCUGAUCUCAAAAAGCCGUCUCAGUUCGGAUUGCACUCUGCAACUCGAGUGCAUGAAGGUGGAAUCGCUAGUAAUCGCGGAUCAGCAUGCCGCGGUGAA